rnacentral:misc_RNA from 1 species
UACGAAGGGUGCAAGCGUUAAUCGGAAUUACUGGGCGUAAAGCGCGCGUAGGUGGUUUGUUAAGUUGGAUGUGAAAGCCCCGGGCUCAACCUGGGAACUGCAUCCAAAACUGGCAAGCUAGAGUAUGGCAGAGGGUGGUGGAAUUUCCUGUGUAGCGGUGAAAUGCGUAGAGAUGUGGAGGAACACCAGUGGCGAAGGCGACCACCUGGACUGAUACUGACACUGAGGUGCGAAAGCGUGGGGAGCAAACAGG